rfam:Ipomoea nil DNA, scaffold: scaffold2701, cultivar: Tokyo-kokei standard.
GCAGAUAUGGUCGAAUGGUAAAAUUUCUCUUUGCCAAGGAGAAUAUGCGGGUUUGAUUCUCACUAUCCACA